GUGCCAGCAGCCGCGGUAAGACAGAGGGGGCAAGCGUUGCUCGGAAUCACUGGGCGUAAAGGGCGCGUAGGCGGGAGGGCAAGUCGGUCGUGAAAUCCUCCGGCUCAACCGGAGAACGUCGGCCGAUACUGCCUUUCUUGAGGGAUGCAGAGGAGACUGGAAUUCCCGGUGUAGCGGUGAAAUGUGUAGAGAUCGGGAGGAACACCGGUGGCGAAGGCGGGUCUCUGGGCAUCUCCUGACGCUGAGGCGCGAAAGCGUGGGGAGCAAACGGGAUUAGAUACCCUCGUAGUCC
rnacentral:rRNA from 1 species